AGUGAACGCUGGCGGUAGGCCUAACACAUGCAAGUCGAACGGCAGCACAGUAAGAGCUUGCUCUUACGGGUGGCGAGUGGCGGACGGGUGAGGAAUACAUCGGAAUCUACUUUUUCGUGGGGGAUAACGUAGGUAAACUUACGCUAAUACCGCAUACGACCUACGGGUGAAAGCAGGGGAUCUUCGGACCUUGCGCGAUUGAAUGAGCCGAUGUCGGAUUAGCUAGUUGGGGGGGUAAAGGCCCACCAAGGCGACGAUCCGUAGCUGGUCUGAGAGGAUGAUCGGCCACACUGGAACUGGGACACGGUCCAGACUCCUACGGGAGGCAGCAGUGGGGAAUAUUAGACAAUGGGCGCAAGCCUGAUCCAGCCAUACCGCGUGGGUGAAGAAGGCCUUCGGGUUGUAAAGCCCUUUUGUUGGGAAAGAAAAGCAGCAGGUUAAUACCCCGCUGUUCUGACGGUACCCAAAGAAUAAGCACCGGCUAACUUCGUG
rnacentral:rRNA from 1 species